UACGUAGGGUGCAAGCGUUGUCCGGAAUUAUUGGGCGUAAAGAGCUUGUAGGCGGUUUGUCGCGUCUGCUGUGAAAUUUCGGGGCUCAACCCCGAACUUGCAGUGGGUACGGGCAGACUAGAGUGUGGUAGGGGAGACUGGAAUUCCUGGUGUAGCGGUGAAAUGCGCAGAUAUCAGGAGGAACACCGAUGGCGAAGGCAGGUUUCUGGGCCAUAACUGACGCUGAGAAGCGAAAGCAUGGGGAGCAAACAGG
rnacentral:rRNA from 1 species